rnacentral:misc_RNA from 1 species
AGAAAAGCCAAUUCAUCAGCAUCAAGCAAGGAGCACCUCCAGUGCACACUCUUCACAGUUAAAUGGUUAGUGCCUUCCGGGUUAAACAAUACUCGGCCAAUCCAAACUGUUCAAACAUUACAUUUUAACGGAGCUUGAUACAACACUAAAAAAUUUUCUGAAACCUCAACUAUAGUUAUCCUCGGAAAUUAACACAUGGGACAGAAUGGUAUGAUACAAUGUACAAAUCAGCGAGUGGUAUGUCAUGUUCCAGGCAUUGCACAAGGAGAAAAUCAUCAUAUCGGACAAAUCCAAUCAAAACCUAAUGCCCUAAGACAUCUUGAGGUUUACAGGAUGCAACAAAUGCUGGUAUGUUCCCAACAAAUGCUGGUUUAGUUGGGCACACACCUAAAAGCUGCCAAUCAUAAAAUGAAAUCUCAAAUUAAC